AUACGGAGGGGGCUAGCGUUAUUCGGAAUUACUGGGCGUAAAGCGCUCGUAGGCGGCUUGUAAAGUCGGAUGUGAAAGCCCCGGGCUCAACCUGGGAACUGCAUUCGAUACUGGCAGGCUAGAGUAUAGUAGAGGCAAGUGGAAUUCCGGGUGUAGCGGUGAAAUGCGUAGAUAUCCGGAGGAACAUCAGUGGCGAAGGCGACUUGCUGGACUAAUACUGACGCUAAGGCGCGAAAGCGUGGGGAGCAAACAGGAUUAGAAACCCCGGUAGUCC
rnacentral:rRNA from 1 species